rnacentral:rRNA from 1 species
UCGAGAAUCUUUGUCAAUGGACGAAAGUCUGAACAAGCGACGCCGCGUGCGGGAUGAAGGCCUUCGGGUUGUAAACCGCUGUCGUAGGGGAACAAAUUCUAGGGGGUUCUCCCUUUAGUUUGAGUGAUCCUAGGAGGAAGGACGGGCUAAGUUCGUGCCAGCAGCCGCGGUAAGACGAACCGUCCAAACGUUAUUCGGUAUCACUGGGCUUAAAGAGUUCGUAGGCGGCUCGGUAGGUGAGAUGUGAAAUCCCACGGCUCAACCGUGGAACUGCGUUUCAAACCACCGGGCUUGAGGGAGAUAGAGGUGAGUGGAACUGAUGGUGGAGCGGUGAAAUGCGUUGAUAUCAUCAGGAACACCGGUGGCGAAAGCGGCUCACUGGAUCUCUUCUGACGCUGAGGAACGAAAGCUAGGGUAGCGAACGGGAUUAGAUACCCCCGUAGUCC